rnacentral:rRNA from 1 species
GAUGAACGCUGGCGGCGUGCCUAAUACAUGCAAGUCGAGCGAACAGACGAGGAGCUUUCUCCUCUGACGUUAUCGGCGGACGGGUGAUUAACACGUGGAUAACCUACCUAUAAGACUGGGAUAACUUCGGGAAACCGGAUCUAAUACCGGAUAAUAUAUUGAACCUCAUUGUUCAAGAGUGAAAUACGGUUUUUCUUUCACUUAUAGAUGGAUCCGCGUCGCAUUAGCUAGUUGGUAAGGUAACGGCUUAACAAGGCAACGAUGCGUAGCCGACCUGAGAGGGUGAUCGGCCAGCCUGGAAGUGAGACACGGUCCAGACUCCUACGGGAGGACGCAGUAGGGAAUCUUCCGCAAAGGGGGAAAGCGUGAUGGAGCAACGCCGCGUGAGGGAUGAAGGUCUUAGGAUCGUAAAACUAUGUUAUUAGGGAAGAAGAAAUGUGUAAGUAACUAUGCACGUAUUGACGGUACCUAAUCAGAAAGCCACGGCUAACUCCGUG